rnacentral:lncRNA from 1 species
UUUUUUUUUUUUUUUUUUUGGUUUUUUGAGACAGGGUUUCUGUGUGUAACCCUGGCUGUCAGUGCUGGGAUUAAAGGCGUGCACCACCACCACCCGGCGAUAUUGAACUUCUUGAUGAUAAUGAUAUUGAACCCCUACCUCUACCUUCAACGUGCUAGGAUUACAGGUGUGUGCGUCCAUGCCUUGUUUACAAGAUACUGGGGGGUGGAACCCUGGGUUUCCUACUUGUGGGACAGGCACUUUACCAACCGAGCUACAUCUGCAUUGAGCCCUCCUUUUUAUUUUAUUUAUUCACUUAUUUAUUUUUGAGUCAGAGUCUCCCUGUGUAUUUGAGGCCAGCUUCCACCUGGCAAUCCAUUUGCCUUCGUACCUUACAGUAUGGAACUACAGCUGUGUGUCACCUUUCCUGCCCUCUGCCUGGUGUCCUUGGGCACAGUGGAAGUUCCUAGUUUCCUGUAGUUGGUCUUCCUCAUCCUCCCCCUCAUUGAACUUGAGCCUUCGUUCUCAGGGAGCCUCUACAUUCCCAGCCAUUUGCAGGAAGUGGCUGUGGGCCCGUCGGGGGCAAGCAGGGCAGUAGACCCGGAAUUCUGCUGGGCUGGGUGUCUGCAGCAGGGAGCAGCCUGGAUCCCUAUCCCACAUCUCAUCGCCUUUGUCAGGAGCGCAAGCCUGGAAGUUGGAGAUGAUCUCUGCUUCAGAGAUCUCGCAAAAGGGCUCAGGAGUUCACAGGAGGGAAGCAGGUGGCCAAUGCUGUAAUCCCUGCCUGAGAAGGAGGCCCUAGUUGGCUAGGUGCCCAUUCGGCAGCCCCGAGGACAGUUAGAAAGUUACAAAGUUGAGCUGUGUCUCUCAGAGAAGCCACUUCAGUUCCCUUCUUAUCUGGGGAAUUAUUGUUACCCUCACUGUCCACCAGCUACUCAGGAGAGGCCAGACUCUGAUGAUGUCAUGUCCGUAGGACUUCCUGUUGGAUCUGAGGACAGCACACCCAUCUCGGGCCUUCUGCGGGCCAUGUGAGAGGAGAUACAGGAGGAGUUCGUUGUCGUGGUUUGGCUUGGAUUUCCUUGAGUCCCAGUGUCCUGAGAGUCCCCAGUGAGAAGCCGAGGAUGUAGCUCAGUCGUGAGUGAGCCUAGCACGCACAAAGUCCCGAGUCCCAUCCCCAGUACCCUAUGAAACUGUGGUGACACACGUCUGGAAUCCCAGCACUUGAGAGGCAGAGUCCAGUGGGAUCUUUGUGAGUUCUAGACCAGCCUGGCCUACAUAGUGAGUUCCAGGCUAGCCAGGGCUAUAGAGAGACCCUGCCAUU